GAGUGAUAAUCAUUGGUAAAAAUUUUAAGCCUAAGAAUUCUGAAAGAUAAACACAUUACCUUCAUUUGAGUACGCUUGUUUUGGAACCAAAAUUUUACUUGUAAAGGCUCCAAUCCUAAUUGACGUCCAAGCUCUUUCCUUUGUUUAUCAUCUGGGUGAGGGCAUUCCUUAAAAAAACUGUAAAUGAAAAUAUUUCGUGAAAAAAAUGAAUAAAUGUCUCUUAAUUAUUUAAUUCUGUCCGGCACUUGACUUACGCUUCCAUUUCUGUGAUUUGAUGCUGGGUAUGGCGAUGAUAACGCUUCUUUUUGGGUCGUGGAUUUGGAUCUCCAUCAUCACCAGAAGGUGCUUCCAUUAUAUCAGUCACCGAUUUGCUGUCGAAUUCAUCAUCCUUAAUAAGGUCCAUCUCAUUUUCUGGUGUUUUAUGGAUCAUGUCCAGCAAGGAAUGGUGGCUAUCAAACAUGUUUGGCUGAAACAUCAUGAUGUUCUUAAGUAACAAACUUAAAAUUUUCCAAUCAGCUGCAAGAAGAUGAACAAAAGAAUUAAGCGAAACAAUUUUAACAAAAGAUUAAUAUAAUUAAGAAAUAAUUAUAGUUUAAAACAAUUGACAUGAGAGACAAGCUUAAAAUUUUCCAAUCAGCUGCAAGAAGAUGAAACAAAAAAAUUAAGCGAAACAAUUUUAACAAAAAAUUAAUAUAAUUAAGAAAUAAUUAUAGUUUACAACAAUUGACAUGGCAGAACUAUACAUCAAGAAAAAAAGGAUUGCGCCAUAUGGAAUCUGGAAAUGCGAUUAGGGAAUAAAAAAAUUCUAUUAAGGCUCAGAUCUUGUGACUUUUGAGAGUGUGUAAUGUACGAAAAAAGGUGCUUUAGCGUUUAUAUCGAGAAUGAUUUCAUUGGAAGUACUUUUAUUCCCUACUUCUUUGUUUAAUCAGAUCUUGAAAUGGUUUGACUCUUGACACAAAACAGUAUAUCAUAAACACUUUUUAACAUGACAACGAAAUUAAUUUUUGUGGGAACCUGAUACUGUUCAUCAGAAUUCUGUUUAAAUUGUGAGAAAUAACAAUGUAAAAAAUGGUAUGAUAAGAGUAACUCUAUAUCUGUAUCUUGAAUUCUUCUUGCAUUCAGUGGAAUUUUAGGUUUGCAAAAUUCACUGACCUUUUUUAUAGGUUUUCAGACUCGCCUGAAAAUUCUUGGCACGAGACUUCUUCCUAUGCCCUUGAAGCUGCACAUCUUCACCAUGAAACCCUAGAAACUUCUCUCUCUCUCUCUCUUUAUAUAUAUAUCUUUCUCCCUCUAAAUUGAGGUCUAGCUUUUUGGUUUUGAUUUUGGUUUUGGUUUUUAGAAGGUAGUGCGUUGAGGUCAACAGAUUCU
rnacentral:sRNA from 1 species